rnacentral:rRNA from 1 species
GCAGCAGUGGGGAAUAUUGCACAAUGGGCGAAAGCGUGAUGCAGCCAUGCCGCGUGUGUGAAGAAGGCCUUCGGGUUGUAAAGCACUUUCAGCGAGGAGGAAAGGUUACUGGCUAAUAUCCAGUAGCUGUGACGUUACUCGCAGAAGAAGCACCGGCUAACUUCGUGCCAGCAGCCGCGGUAAUACGAGGGGUGCAAGCGUUAAUCGGAAUUACUGGGCGUAAAGCGUACGCAGGCGGUUUGUUAAGCGAGAUGUGAAAGCCCCGGGCUCAACCUGGGAACUGCAUUUCGAACUGGCAAACUAGAGUCUUGUAGAGGGGGGUAGAAUUUCAGGUGUAGCGGUGAAAUGCGUAGAGAUCUGAAGGAAUACCGGUGGCGAAGGCGGCCCCCUGGACAAAGACUGACGCUCAGGUACGAAAGCGUGGGGAGCAAACAGGAUUAGAUACCCUGGUAGUCCACGCCGUAAACGAUGUCUACUCGGAGUUUGGUGUCUUGAACACUGGGCUCUCAAGCUAACGCAUUAAGUAGACCGCCUGGGGAGUACGGCCGCAAGGUUAAAACUCAAAUGAAUUGACGGGGGCCCGCACAAGCGGUGGAGCAUGUGGUUUAAUUCGAUGCAACGCGAAGAACCUUACCUACUCUUGACAUCCUCAGAACUUUCCAGAGAUGGAUUGGUGCCUUCGG